AAGCUGCCCAGAGAGGUUGUGAAGUUGCCUUCUCUGCAGAUAUUAAAAACCUGUCUGGAUGCUUUCAUGUGCAACCAACUGCACAGAAUCUGCUUUGACAGAGUGGUUGGACUGGAUGAUCUCUAGAAGCUCUUUCAAACCCCAAGAACACGUUGAUUCUGUGAUAUUCCUCAAGCAAACAAUGUUGUGUAUUUCAUCAUAGAGGAGGACCUGUUCUGCUUUUCCAUAGUAUGUAUCUCUUGGAGAUGGCAACUUCCUGUGAGCAAAGAAUUACUACUUGUAUUUUUAGCCAUUAUAACAGUAUUAACAGCAAUUUUCACAGCGUCAGCAUCUGGCACCAGAAAGUUGUAUCAUAUUGUUUCUUUUAAAACUGUCUAUGUUUCUGUGCUUGUUAUUUUAAUUUCUCCAUUUGUUACACUCUUGUUUGUUUGUUGAAAAGCAUGGAGUAUAUUAAUUCAGUUGGUGAAGCUGCAUGUAAGCAUGAAUGGCCUUACUGUUGGUAUACGUUAACAACAAACACCACCAGAUGCCCCCUGUUCCUCUCUCAGGUUAGAGCUGGCUCCUUGUAAUUACCUCCUGUAGAUCUUAACUGAAAAUGCUGUUUUUUUUCCUGCAAGAGAAUGGGAGAGGACCACGAAUCUUUUUUCCUUAGGUUUGAAGAGGUUAGGAUGUAAUGCCACUUGGAAGUGUUUAGGGAACCUGUGCUAUGUGUUGAUAUAUAUUUAGUAAAGCUUUCUCUUUGUAGUGGAAAUGCAAGUCACAGCUAGAACCAGUGACUGAGCACGUGGUGGGAAGGUGGGGCCAACCCAGGGGAGCUCAGGUGUAUGCAAUGUACCUGAGAGACCAGAAGGGGUGUAGCCAGGAUCCACCCCUUCCCAGACCUCAUUUAAGGGUUGGCAGCAGAGAUGAGAGCAUCUUGUUUGGAGAUCCCUGCCUGACUAGGAUGCUCACGGGCCUUUCAGAGGAUCUCACUUGGUUCCUGUUCUCUGGCAGUUGCCUGAAAGCAAUGUAGGCUGACUCAACUCCUUCACCAGGAAGGCACUGUGCUCUGAAAUCAGAUGCCACUGUUCCCAUCAGCAGACAAGCACAUCAAGGCCACUGACAGGCAAGGCACCACAUCUGAAGGCACCAAAUCCUCUUCUCAAACAGGCUAUUCUGAGUUCUUGCAUGUUCUUGAGCAAGCUGUCUGCCUGCUGCCAUUUUACUGACCUGCAGUGCAGGAAAAUUGUUACUUGGCACCUGGAUCACAAGCCUGACUUCACCAAGCAAUGUGUGAGGUGAGAAGGACCAGGCUUCUCAUGGCAAACACAGCAUUUGCUCAGUCAUUUCAAAUCACUGCAGACCUGCAGUGGGACUGAAAGAAGACUGCUCCUGGUUCAUCUGGGAUCAGAUACACCUAAAUCAUUGCACUUUAAUCCAUUUUUGCUUGCAGAAGGAAGAAGAAUUUUCAGAGCUUUUAUAGUCUUUUCUAUUGCUAGCAUGUUUUGCUGUAGCAUUUACAUCUAGAACAUUUUCAGGCCAUCUGCAGCGAAGCUGUGUGCAAAAGAAAAAAGUCAUUAUAAACUACGUGUUCUUUAUAUAAAUCUGUGAGUCCCUCCUAUCAUUGAGGUAGGUUUUUAUCUUGUUUUUUUCUUACAUGAUGGAUGUAAUACUGCUGCUUAUGUAACAAUGCAAUGAGUUUUUUUCAUUGGAGGGAAAAACAAGGUAACCAAGCAACAAAAAUCCUUUUUUGCUUUUAAUGAAAUUGCUUUCCUGCAGUUAGGAUACUAACACCAAUGCUUUUAGUAGUUGAAUAGUGGAAGCUUCAGUGAUAGCCUUCCCAUUCUCCUUUAAACUUUUUUUUGUAAUAAUCAAUUUGUAGAUCAAAUUGUAAUUGUAAUCAAUUAGAUUCAAUUAGAAUCAAUUGUGUAGAGAAGCUAUGGUGAAGCAUUGUACUCAGAUGCACCCUUCCAAAAAAAUGCACUUAUUUUCACAAGGAUCCUGUCUUAGAAUGUUUACUUGCAUGUGCAGAAUCUGACUAUGGGAUCAGGGCACUUUCUUUUGUUUUAGUAAUGUUUUUCCUAUUAAUGCAGAUUUUACUAUAGGUGUUAGUGUUUAAGAACUUCACAUUAGCACAUGAUGUCUCACCUAAUUUAUAAAAUGCUUAAGCUGAUGAUUACUUCUAUCCUCUAUUUCUUUGUAUCCAUUGUUGUAUUUAACACAAUGUGACCAUUGCUUGAGGUCACCAGAUCCUCAUGCAAUAAAAAUAUUGUGAAUCAUAAUUUAUAAGCAGUCAAAUAUUAGAAACACAAAAAGAUUGUAGAAAUGUAGUGAAAUAUCUUUGCAGGCAAGAAUACUUACAUCCAAUUUCAAAGUCUGAUGUUAUCAAGUAACUGUUUUGGUAUUUAUUACCAAAAAAAUACUAUAUUUUGUUCAGAUAAUUCAAUAAGUAUAUUCUUGGUGAAUUUUUUUUUGAGCAAUGCUUUAUAUGAAAAUGUCUUAGUUGAUACAUCAAACUCAACAGAGCCUCCAGUGCAUUGUUGUUGUUUCCUAAUGAUCCAUGUACAAAUGCUGAAUGAAUUAAGAAGCUCACAGGCUUUAUAGCCAUGGUCAAAUCAGUGCUUCCUGGGUAAGACGGUACUUUAUUCUGCAUGGUCAAGGGGCCAUGUAAAAUGCCUGAGAUUCAAUUACCUCAGCCUGCUGUUGAUUUUCUUUCUUCACAACAGCAGGAAGCGAAGUCUGGAAUACAGCUCCUUAAAAAUAGGCACCUUUAUCUGCAUAGGUGCAUCACACACUGAUCACAAAACUGAAAUAACAGUAAGAACUAUGUGAAGAGAAGCUUUUAUGCCCACGUUAAUGAAAUUAACAGGAAAGGUUGGUGCUGCCAAGGGAGUUGGGCAGGUUCUGUGUCUUGGGGCCUUAUGGGUUUGUGCUGCGAACUCACCCUUGUCUGUCUUCUCCCUUCUAGUCAGCAGAUGUAUGAGGAGGACAAACCUUGGCACUGCCAGUUUUCAGAUAUCCAGGUGCCUGGUAUGUGUGUAUCAUUUCCGCAUUGAAGUAGAAAGAUCCUGACUUGAGGAAGCAGGAUAAGAACAAAGUAUUUCUUUCUAUAGCUCUCUGAGGCUGCACAAGGAGAGUACCAGGGUGGAAUAUAGGCAGCAAAGAUGGGAGGCAGGACCCCAACUGUCCUGGGGUGAGGGGGGUGCAGGUUGGGCUGUGGGCACCUGCUGAGACACCUGUACCUGCAAUGUUCCCCCCUUCUCCAAAGACAGAAAGCGCCCUUGUGGCACCUCCAGCAAUGAAAGACUCCCAACAAAGCAAGGGCCAGUCUUCCAAAGAUACUUCUCCCAGCCUUGCUGAGAUAUUCAGUGUUAGUGGUAUUUGUGCUCUCUCUAGAAUGCUACUUCAGUAGGUGAGAGAUGAUCUGGAUAUGUUGGGAGGGAAAUGGCAGGAAAAGGGUCUGUGUCCAUGCAUUUCACCUGAUGAGUUCUCCUGGGGCUCCCUACAGCUUUUUGCCUGUGGUGGGUCCUUCUUGGAUCUAAUGAGCUCCAGGUCUUCUCUGUUCUGUGGCUUCUUGCCAACAGUCUUUUUCAGAAGGUGGAAGGGAGGAGUGGAACUUGGGAUUCCUCCUCGAGGCCGUCAAACGCAUAAUCAAGCUGGCAGCUCAAAAAGUGAGGACCUGGCUUGGAUGUGGAGACUUGUGCCAGUAGAGUCUUGAGGGAUCUUGGCUUGGAAGCUGAAAAAGCAAUCUCAGCACUUCUAGCCAGCUGGGACAAACUUUUACUCUCUGCAGCCACACAGACUCAUCUGCCAGGAGGGUCUCUGAGCUGUGCCUGCAUCCUCUGCUGGGCCCAGAUGUGUGGGAUUGGCUACCAAGGCACAGAAGCUACUUCUGAUGGGGGCUGUUAUGCUCCUUCCAGCAUUGCUGUUUGUGGCAAUAUUGAGGUUGCCAUCAGCUAUGUAGAGCCAGGGCGUGGACAGAUCUUACACCCACCAUAUGCUCUGGAGGAUGCUUGAGUCACCCACUUCUUUAGGCUGUACAGGUAAGGGCUGCCAGCAUUGGCAGCAAGGGCUUCCUCACCCCUACCCCUCACCUGCCAGCAUUGGCCAUGCUAGCAAGUAACCCCCAGUUCUGCUUCCUAUCAAUCUGUGAGAGCCUGGAUGGGGUUGGAGGCUCCUUUAUGCUGCCUCUGCCCUCAUCACCUCAACUGUGGAAGGACUCACCUAUUCAUCACUUUGCCCAUCCAUCUCAUCUUCCCAUCAUGUUCUUCUGCUGAUUUUUCUGGCUUCCCCCUUAUAGCCUCCAGUGCCAACUCUGUGAUUGCUGACCCUGGCAGUGAAAGUCAAACAGAGGCUGUCCGCAGCUUCCAAAUAUCCAAGAGUGUCAGCCUCACCACCACAGCCCAAGCAGCAGCAGGGCUAUUUUGCAGCUUGUGGGCUUGGCUGUGCGAAGGUCAGUGAGGCCAGAUUAGGCUGCAUCAAAGACCUGGUCACACACAAGCUAGAUGCCAGUGGCAUCAUCUUUGGCCCUUAAGAUCCAAACUUGUCCCAUGUAGCUGUUGGAGUAAUAACAGCAAAAUCAUCUGACUUCAAAGAUUGUGGAGGUGGUUCCCAGUUUUCCUGUAGAGCUCAGUCUCUACCUUUUCCUCCCCACUGACUGCCCAAUACCCCAAUGACCACAGCAGACAGGAGGGAGCAAAGAGUUGGAUUUCUGCUGCUGCAGUGAUGUAUUUUCUUCACUGUCCCUAGAGAAAUGAGGUGCAAGCAUGAACUGAGGCUGGAAGCGUGGACAAAUCAACGCAGUCCUUGUUCUAAAGGUGCUUCCAGUCUUCUCUGGGUCACAUGUUUGCAUGUCACUUGCCCUCAUGAGCUGCUCCCUGGUUCUUCAGUCAGUCGCAGUUCUUUGCUGCACCUCUUCCUCAGUUGUACCACAGUGCAAACUAUUUUUAGGGAUUUCCUCUCAUUAACUUUUUAUUAAAAAUCAUAAAAAAGCUUUAAAAGUUAAACACUGCUUGAGUAGAAAAUUGUUAUAAAAUAGAUGAGAAGCAAAACUGGUAGGUAUUGAAUAGGAUCUAAUGGAAAUUAAAUAUUUACAGAACUGUGACUCAAGAGCUGUACGAAUUUUUAGGUGGGCAGAAAUGAUCUCCUAGAUGGCUUUGAUCCAGCAAAGCACUUAAGGCACAGGAUGAUUUCAUGGAGAUAAUUGAGAAAGUGUGUGUGUGAGUGCUUUGCUGGACCUCGGCCUUGAAAACAUUACACCUUCAUCUGAAUUCCAUUUUUAAUUUUUAUGUAAGGACACACAUCUUAACUGCUUCAUUGCCUUUAUAUUCUGACACCAGCAAGAGAUUGGUGUCAAUCAAUACCUACAAAUUGAAGUCAAGGAUGAUUUAAAAAAAAUAAAUAUUUAAUAAUUAUCCUUAAGAGGCACUAAGCCUGUCCCAUUUGUAAUAAGUGACUUAUGGAAACAAACUUACUUUUGAAACAAAGUGUACUAGUAUGUUCUGUUCUGUGAUGAUCAUCUUGAGAAAACCCACAAGUUUUAAAAGCUUUCUUGAGUCCCUUUCAACUAUGUGAGUUCAUAGAUCUGUUUCAAGGGGAAUUAUUUCUGAGACGUGAAAUUUUACUUAAAUAAUUCUACUUAGAAGAGAAAAGGUGUGGGAUAUGAAUUGAAGAAGUAUGUAUUGCUCACUGUUUUUCUAUCCACACCUGGAUGUGACUUUAGGAACAGUUUUUUUGUUUAGUUCCUUUGAAGAUAAUAGGGCUGGAACAGGCUGCCCAGAGAGGUUAUGGAUGCCUCAUCCAUGAGGGCAUU